GAUGAACGCUGGCGGCGUGCUUAACACAUGCAAGUCGAACGAAGUGGCGGAUGGGCGAGUAACACGUGAGGAACCUGCCUUUCACAGGGGAAUAACACUGGGAAACCAGUGCUAAUACCGAAUAGUGAAAGAUGGCCUCGAGCCUGAUUAGCUAGUAGGUGAGGUAACGGCUCACCUAGGUGAUGAUCACUAUCCGGACGGAAGGUUGAUCGGCCGCUAUGGGACUGAGACACGGCCCAGCCUCCUACGGGAAGCAGCAGUGAGGAAUGUUGUGCAAUGGCGCAAGCCUGACCCAGCAACGCCGCGUGUAGGAAGACUGUCUUCGGAUUGUAAACUUCUUUAGACAGGGACGCGGUACCUGUAGAAUAAGCCACGGCUAACUACGUGCCAGCAGCCGCGGUAAUAC
rnacentral:rRNA from 1 species